AGGGUGUCAAAGCCCUCCCCCCAUCCGAUGCACGGCAGGAGAGCACUGCUGAGCAUCCGCAAUCAGAGCGUCGCUGCCGGCCGCGUUCCUGCUAUAUGCAAAGAGGGACUCAUCGUGCCCCUCCAGGAGCAGCACAGACCCAACGAUAAUACCGCGCCCUACCUCCCUGUGACGCUGACAAGCAAUUUGUGCAAGCUGCUCAAACGACCGACCUCGCGACGUGUGCAGGACCAUCUGGAAAGCAGGCUCCAGCCGCCGCAGUCUGGCUUCCAUCCCCACUACUCCACUAGAGGUCUCCCUAGGCUUGCUCCCGCACGAAGUACCCCCGCACCAGUCGGGUACCGAGAUUGGCGCAGCGCUUGUGGGCUCUGUUUUCGUGCGUUCGACUUGGCACCUCACGGCAGUGAAGAAGCGCAGCGUAGCGCCGUAACUUACUCGCUGAAUCAUGGAUUUCUGAGACGGCGGUCCUGUCUGCGUUCGCCUCCGCGAGAAGAGACCAGAGAUAUCCCGCUUUACACGCCGAGUCCCACAGGAGUGUGCUCGAGGCCCUCUUCUCUCCACCGCUAUAGUCGACUCGCUGGGUAUGGGGCUCCGCAAGACCGGCGAACUGCACUACGCCUUCUGUGCUGAUGAGCUCACACUCCUCACGCCCUCCUCUGGCGAGAAUGUCAUACAGGUCACGCUGCGAUUCGCACUCUGGAGGGCGGAGCACAGGCCGCUGAAGCGCUUCAUGGUGCUCAGUGCCCAGCCCAAAGCAAAAUGCACACCCCUCUCUGCGCGGCCAAGCUCACUGUCCAUUUCCGGGAGGGACACGGCUCGUUGCACGCGCGUGCCCGGAGGAGGAUCGCUGCCCCUUCCGCCUUCCCGGCGUAGACCUCCAACCCAUGCGCGACACUGGCCGGCACGUUGCAGGAGCCAUCAAAGUAGCCAGGGCUCGGCUUGCCAGGCGUAGGGCGGUGUGCUCGCGCGAGCGGGGUCCGUCAGAGGGUCUGCUCUGCCCUUUCGGCGUGGCGCUGCUCGCACGGCGGCUGCUUUGCGGUGCCGCCGCGCGGCGGGACGGUGCCAGCGCCAACGGCAGGAGGGCCGUUGACACCACCUUCGUGCCCAAAGCGGCCGUGGCCACCGUGGGUAGGCGAAUGGCGCGCAGACGGCCGAGACCCGUCUCAGCCCGGCGCCGGCCGCGCGGCGCACAUGCGAGGUAGGGGCGGCGUAGGGCAGGAAGGGCCCGUUGGCCGCACGUCCAUGCCGCCGCUGUGGGGCGGUUCACCCUGGGCGGCCAGGGUUUGGCGGUGGUGCCGCGGGGGUCGGUGCAUGGUGGCUGGCGCGUGUGUUUGGUGGUGGUGGAAUGGCGUCUCGGAAAACGUCGCUGGGUGAGGGGUUACGUUUUCCCUUCGUCCUCUUGUUCUGUUCUCCGUUAUCGUAGUCGUGAACUCUCACGUGAUGGGAAUGUAGUGCGAUAAAAGUCCCGUUGAGACGAGAGGGCCCCGGCAGCUAAUGUUCGUGUCAUCUAAAGAAAUUGUUGGUUUUGUUGUUGGUGUUGAGUGGGCCUUCGCUGCUUGGACUUGCUAUGGGUACUCACAAUAUUAC
rnacentral:misc_RNA from 1 species